UACGUAGGGUGCAAGCGUUAAUCGGAAUUACUGGGCGUAAAGCGUGCGCAGGCGGUGAUGUAAGACAGUUGUGAAAUCCCCGGGCUCAACCUGGGAACUGCAUCUGUGACUGCAUCGCUGGAGUACGGCAGAGGGGGGUAGAAUUCCACGUGUAGCAGUGAAAUGCGUAGAGAUGUGGAGGAACACCGAUGGCGAAGGCAGCCCCCUGGGUCAAGAUUGACGCUCAUGCACGAAAGCGUGGGGAGCAAACAGG
rnacentral:rRNA from 1 species